rnacentral:rRNA from 1 species
UACGGGGGGGCAAGCGUUGUUCGGAAUUACUGGGCGUAAAGGCUCGUAGGCGGCCAACUAAGUCGGAUGUGAAAUCCCCAGGCUUAACCUGGGAACUGCAUCCGAUACUGGAUGGCUUGAAUUCGGGAGAGGGAUGCAGAAUUCCAGGUGUAGCGGUGAAAUGCGCAGAUAUCAGGAGGAACACCAAUGGCGAAGGCAGCUCGCUGGGACGGUACUGACGCUGAGGCGCGAAAGCGUGGGGAGCGAACAGG